GUACACUCCUACGGGAGGCAGCAGUGGGGAAUAUUGGACAAUGGGCGCAAGCCUGAUCCAGCCAUGCCGCGUGAGUGAUGAAGGCCCUAGGGUUGUAAAGCUCUUUCACCGGUGAAGAUAAUGACGGUAACCGGAGAAGAAGCCCCGGCUAACUUCGUGCCAGCAGCCGCGGUAAUACGAAGGGGGCUAGCGUUGUUCGGAUUUACUGGGCGUAAAGCGCACGUAGGCGGACUAUUAAGUCAGGGGUGAAAUCCCGGGGCUCAACCCCGGAACUGCCUUUGAUACUGGUAGUCUUGAGUUCGAGAGAGGUGAGUGGAAUUCCGAGUGUAGAGGUGAAAUUCGUAGAUAUUCGGAGGAACACCAGUGGCGAAGGCGGCUCACUGGCUCGAUACUGACGCUGAGGUGCGAAAGCGUGGGGAGCAAACAGGAUUAGAUACCCUUGUAGUCCCAUG
rnacentral:rRNA from 1 species